GCCCAGGUAGCUCAGUCGGUAGAGCAGGGGAUUGAAAAUCCCCGUGUCGGCGGUUCGGUUCCGUCCCUCGGCACCA
rnacentral:tRNA from 1 species